UACGGGGGGGGCAAGCGUUACUCGGAAUUAUUGGGCGUAAAGGGCGCGUAGGCGGUCGUGUGCGUCGGAGGUGAAAUCCCCGGGCUUAACCCGGGAGCUGCCUCCGAUACGGCAUGGCUUGAGUCCGGGAGAGGGGAGCAGAAUUCCCAGUGUAGCGGUGAAAUGCGUAGAUAUCUGGAGGAAUACCGGUGGCGAAGGCGGCAUCCUGGACCGACAUUGACGCUGAUGAGCGAAAGCUAGGGGAGCAAACGGG
rnacentral:rRNA from 1 species